rnacentral:rRNA from 1 species
GAUGAACGCUGGCAGCGUGCCUAAUACAUGCAAGUCGAGCGAACAGACGAGGAGCUUGCUCCUCUGACGUUAGCGGCGGACGGGUGAGUAACACGUGGAUAACCUACCUAUAAGACUGGGAUAACUUCGGGAAACCGGAGCUAAUACCGGAUAAUAUAUUGAACCGCAUGGUUCAAUAGUGAAAGACGGUUUUGCUGUCACUUAUAGAUGGAUCCGCGCCGCAUUAGCUAGUUGGUAAGGUAACGGCUUACCAAGGCAACGAUGCGUAGCCGACCUGAGAGGGUGAUCGGCCACACUGGAACUGAGACACGGUCCAGACUCUUACGGGAGGCAGCAGUAGGGAAUCUUCCGCAAUGGGCGAAAGCCUGACGGAGCAACGCCGCGUGAGUGAUGAAGGUCUUCGGAUCGUAAAACUCUGUUAUUAGGGAAGAACAAAUGUGUAAGUAACUAUGCACGUCUUGACGGUACCUAAUCAGAAAGCCACGGCUAACUACGUG